rnacentral:rRNA from 1 species
GAUGAACGCUGGCGGCGUGCCUAACACAUGCAAGUCGAGCGGCAGCGCGAGUAGUUUACUACUUGGCGGCGAGCGGCGGACGGCUGAGUAACGCGUAGGAACGUAGCCCAAACUGAGGGAUAAGCAAAAGAAAUGCUGACUACUCACGCAAGUGCUCGACGGAGUAAAGCUUCGGUGGUGUGGGGACGGCCUGGGUCAGAUUAGCUUGUUGGUGGGGGAAAAGCUCACCAAGGCGACGAUCGGUAGCUGGUCUGAGAGGAUGAUCAGUCACACUGGGACUGAGACACGGUCCAGACUCCUACGGAAGGCAGCAGUGGGGAAUUUUGGACAAUGGGGGGAACCCUGAUCCAGCCAUGCCGCGUGUGUGAAGAAGGUCUUAGGAUUGUAAAGUGCUUUAAGUUGGGAGGAAGAGCAGUUAACUAAUAUUUGACUGUUUUGACGUUACCGUCAGAAUAAGCACCGGCUAACUUCGUGCCAGCCGCCGCAGUAA